rnacentral:lncRNA from 1 species
GUUAACAGACAAAGAAAAUUAGAAACCUAGAAUGUGACAGCAGAUAAAAGCACCCUCACACACAGCACCCCUCUUACAUACACACACUGCGCCCCUCACACAUACAAUAAGUCCAAGUAUAUUAUAUAUAUAUAUACACACACACACACACACACUACAGCACCCCUCACACUGCACCACUACACACAUUACGCUCCAGAUACACACUAGAUCCCUUACCCUAAAUGCACUCUUAAUCCUCUACACACACACACACUGGGUCCUUUACACAGUAGAUCUCCUACACACACACACUACAUUCCUUGUCAGCAAACACAUACAACAUUCUCUAAACACACCCUCUCUGCAACCCCUAGACACACUACGUCACCUAUACACACACACUUCAGCCCGUAUGCACACACUCGCUGCAUCCCCUAUAAAACUAUGCCCCCUAUACAUACACUCUCUACAGCCCCUAGCCACACAUAUUACACCACAAACACAAAUUAAAUUGACCUAUUUAUACAAUACCACACCGCACUCUACACAUACGCAAUCCCACAAGCAGGCUCCAAACAUAUGCACCAUGCACUUUCCUGGCCCUUUUGUCCUCUGGUAUCCCACUUGUGGAGACACCAGAGACAAUUUAAAAGCAAACACAGCGCAAGCAUGUUAUUAAAUUUGCUUGCGCUGCGCAGAAUAAAUUCAGGGCCUUUUUCUAAUCCCAGAGCACUUCAGCUGGGGCUCUGCGCAUUGAACCAACAUGCUCACUUUGAGAGGGGGCGUGUUGUCAUUAGUGAUGACAAAUCACACACUCUCUGGCCCCGCCCCCUUGUUAGGGGGCUGCUCUGAUUGAAAAAUGCCCGUGCCUAAUUUUUUUCCCAGUCUGGCCCUGAUCACCAUCGUGAUACUGAGCACUAUAGAUAGGUAUAUGACUAGGUAUUGUUAGGGUUAAGAGUUAGGGGGCAAAUGAUUAAGGGUCCUGUAGAUUGUAACUCCUAUCAUUUCAACCAGACUUUCCAACUCAAAUUACCCCCCAACUCUUUUUAGCUGUAGUUUAAUGGAAUGUCAACAUUUAAAAUGUGUCUAGUUAAUGGCAAUGUCUUAAAUAUACACCGCAUAAUUCAUAGGGAUAGUAUACAGGGAGGUUUUCAUUAGCAGUGUGUAUUAUUGAUGACUUGGGAAGGAAUGUAUUGGUGUUCAAAGACAGAGUAUUGUUUUACACUAGGUCCACAUUCAUGCUGUCCUUUAUUUAUGUUUUUUUUUUUUUUUGCACAAGUAUUCUCAAAUGACCAGGUGCUAAACAAAACAACAAUGAAUAAAUGAAGGGGGGAGGUCAUAUUUAUGGCUACUAUAAAAUGAUAGAUUAUAGCAAAUAAUAUUUGGGAGUGAAAGCACCUUUUAAACAGGGCAAUUGAAAAGGUUUGUCAGAGCAGAACAGUAAAGCAGGGGGACGUGGCCUGUAAAUUGGCAAAUCCCCCUUAAAACUGGACAGAGUCAUGUGUGGGAGGGGAUGAAGCUAAACAUCACUUUUACCAAACUUAAAAGAACGAUUUGACCCAAAAGACUAGAAAUUGGUUAUCAAAAGUCCCGGGGAUAAACACAGCAUUUCCAAAAUAUAUUUAUAUGUUUUGUUAACAUUAUUUAAGUGGUUCAGCAUGAUUAGCAGUUGUUGCAAACCCCAUUAUUUCUUUCAGGGAUAAGGUCAAGUUCUAGGUAUUUUGAUAAUCUGAGUACCACUGUGUAUUUUAUGUAUUUAACAUACAAUUUUGUGGAACCAGGACAUACUUGAAAAGAAUAAAUAAUAGUUUAUGGCAAGUCACAUGCCUUCUGCAAGGAUUACCAGCAACAGUAACAAUUCUACUUUCAGUAGAGUAGUCUUGUUACAUUUAAAAUAAGAUUAUUAUUUUUUCAAAUAAUAAGAUUUAAAAUUAUUUCUACCUUGAUAUUAUGUGAUUUAUGCUUUAAACUUCCCUUCAAAUGGAGAGAGGCAGAGGCUUUCACGAAGAGACUGGCACAAAAGGGGAAGAAAGCUUGGUAAAUUGUACCAUCCUACUUCAUUCUGAAGGGGGUGGGGGCAACACCUAAACGGUGAGUUGGAUUUUAAAUCUCUAGGAAUACAUGAUUCAAGAGAUUGGAGUGGAGCCUUUCGAUUUGAAGGUGCCUCUCCACAACGGGUGUUGAAACUGCACCUGAAAGGAAAAUAAAUGAAUUAAGUAAAUAACUCCGCUUGUUUGGAAUACAUGUUUGAAUGUAGAUAAUAUUGGUUGAUGAGUUGCCCAAAUACCUGUGAAAAGCUCAUAUUUACAACGGUGGUAAAAGCAAACAGUAAAGGAAGCCUCAGUCUACCUGUGAAGAAGAUAUCAAAGAGGGAGCCAUAAAUACACGUCUUUUUUGGAAUUACUUGAAGACCCAACUCGGUGAGAUGGGACAUUAAAGGGGCAUCACACUAAACAGCCGGUUGUGGGUUAUUACCAGCUCAUUUGCAUAAUUUAGGCCAUAACAGCCAAGUUGGGAGAUAUAUCCAAAUCAGCUGGCUUAGCCUAAAUAAUUGGCUUCCCACAAUUGCCUUUAAGUAAGUAGGACUUAUUUCUUUUUAAACUUAAAAAUCUCUAGGUUAUAAUAUUAUGUUUGUCGGUAGGAAAUGUAUAAUUGAUUUAACAUAUAAUAAUUUAUUAUAUCAUUUUAUGCUGAUACUUUCUGUAUGUACGUUAUGCAGUUAUGUAUAGUAGUUGUUGGAGGUGAUGCUAACAAAGAACAUGCAUUUAUUUAUAUUGAUAUCUGAAUUUUAUAUAAUAUACAUGUGUGGGUUAUAUAUUCAAUAAAUAGUUGAGGCCAAAAUAGUUACGUUGGAGAAAAAGUCCAACAUAAUUUAGUGGCAAGUUGUUUCAUACUCAGGUUUUUUGAGAUAAAUUUAGCAAUUUUGUCAAUGUGCUACACCAUACAGGUUUAAUGUGUGAAUUUAGACAACAUUGAGAAAUUCUCCAAGUUCCAUGUUUUCUGUAUGCCAAUGUUGCCAAGGAGGUUUAAAUUUCACCUCCAAAAAUACACACAUUAGUGGAGUGAAUAACCCUGUCUCUGGCUAUUGAAUAUACUCUAGAACUAUGGCUUAUUCUGCGGCUCUAAAAGGCAUUGCUUAGAAUAUCAAAUACAGUAUAAAUGUAUAUCUACAUGUACAUUUAUAUAUGUCAUGAAAUACAUCGCUGUGUAAUAUGGCUGGAAAAUAAAUAUAUUUUUUUAUAAA